rnacentral:rRNA from 1 species
AUUUCUUGGGGGGGGCAGCAGUAGGGAUUUUUCCCACAAUGGAAGAAAGUUUGAGGGAGCAACGCCGCUUGAAUGAAGAAGGUUUUCGGAUCGUAAAAUUCUGUUGUUAGAGAAGAACGUGUGUGAGAGUAACUGUUCAUGCAGUGACGGUAUCUAACCAGAAAGCCACGGCUAACUACGUGCCAGCAGCCGCGGUAAUACGUAGGUGGCAAGCGUUGUCCGGAUUUAUUGGGCGUAAAGGGAACGCAGGCGGUUUUUUAAGUCUGAUGUGAAAGCCUUCGGCUUAACCGAAGUCAUGCAUUGGAAACUGAAAGACUUGAGUGCAGAAGAGGAGAGUGGAACUCCAUGUGUAGCGGUGAAAUGCGUAGAUAUAUGGAAGAACACCAGUGGCGAAAGCGGCUCUCUGGUCUGUAACUGACGCUGAGGUUCGAAAGUGUGGGUAGCAAACAGGAUUAGAUACCCUGGUAGUCCACACCGUAAACGAUGAAUGCUAAGUGUUGGAGGGUUUCCGCCCUUCGGUGCUGCAGCUAACGCAUUAAGCAUUCCGCCUGGGGAGUACGACCGCAAGGUUGAAACUCAAAGGAAUUGACGGGGGCCCGCACAAGCGGUGGAGCAUGUGGUUUAAUUCGAAGCAACGCGAAGAACCUUACCAGGUCUUGACAUCUUCUGACAGCCUAAGAGAUUAGGUGUUCCCUUCGGGGACAGAAUGACAGGUGGUGCAUGGUUGUCGUCAGCUCGUGUCGUGAGAUGUUGGGUUAAGUCCCGCAACGAGCGCAACCCUUAUUAUUAGUUGCCAGCAUUAAGUUGGGCACUCUAGUGAGACUGCCGGUGACAAACCGGAGGAAGGUGGGGAUGACGUCAAAUCAUCAUGCCCCUUAUGACCUGGGCUACACACGUGCUACAAUGGACGGUACAACGAGUCGCGAAACCGCGAGGUUUAGCUAAUCUCUUAAAGCCGUUCUCAGUUCGGAUUGUAGGCUGCAACUCGCCUACAUGAAGUCGGAAUCGCUAGUAAUCGCGGAUCAGCAUGCCGCGGUGAAUACGUUCCCGGGCCUUGUACACACCGCCCGUCACACCAUGAGAGUUUGUAACACCCAAAGCCGGUGAGGUAACCUUUAUGGGGCCAGCCGUCUAAGUGGACAGAUAGUGA